ensembl:lncRNA
UUUUCUCCCCAAAGCCCCCCGGUACAUAGUUGUGUAUUCUUCGUUGUGGGUUCCUCUAGUUGUGGCAUGUGGGACGCUGCCUCAGCGUGGUCUGACGAGCAGUGCCAUGUCCGCGCCCAGGAUUCGAACCGACGAAACACUGGGCCGCCUGCAGCGGAGCGUGCGAACUUAACCACUCGGCCACGGGGCCAGCCCCUAGCUAACAACAUUUAUUACGUCUUGACAUCAUGUUGCUGCCUUCAAAAAAAAGAAAUCGCAUCCUUGACUCCACAUCCCUUUCUAUAGCUCGUCUCUUACUCUUUUCCUUCACAACUUACUCAUUGCCUCCAUGACCUUUUCUCUCAUUCAUUCCUUGAGGCAACUCCUACCACCCUCUUACUCCUCAUACAUUACUCAAUGACUCUACAACUGUUAAAUCUAAAGGAUAUUUUAUGACCUUGGCAAGCUUGCAUUUCAUGCUGUUGAUCAGCCUGUCCUGGAAAUGUUCCCCUUCUUUAGAGCCCGUGGAUUCUUUUUUCCUGGUUCUCCUAUGUUUAUAGCAACUCAAGGGCUUCUUGCCUUUAUGACGACAUUAAUGUUGCUAUAUCUCAGAGUCUAUAUUUGUGCCUUAGCUCUUCUCAAUCUAUUCUUCCUAAUCUAUAACUGACCCACCUUUGCAAUAACUUAAAACCAUGUCUCUAUAGAAGACAUCUCUCUUGAACUCCAGCCCUAUUGCACAUUGUGGCUUGAAUAAGCCAAGAAUUCUUCAAUGGUCUGAAAUUAACACGUCCUUUAGUGGUACCUUCUCAAGAAGUGACACUGGCCUGGAAGAAUACUAAAUUUCUACCUUUUCCAUACCACUCAUACAAAGCAGUGCUAAAUUUAAUUCCUAAAAACCUCUUGACUCUCCGAUAUACUUCAUGCUCACCUCCAACACUGUAAUAAUGGACCACUUCAUUUCUCACCAAAUGACUAUGGGGGCAUUCCUAAUGUGGGCAUUGUUAAACUAUGUUCUUAGAACUUUGGGUACUUCCUGGAUUGCUGAGGGAAGGGAGAAGGGAGGCAGAACAAUCAAGUCUUAAGUUCCUCAUCCCUAUCUCAAGCAAGAUCGGAAAUUGAUGGGAAAAUAAAGCCCAUGGAGAAACAGAAGACUUCCUGUCAUUCUCUGUCCUUAGACCCACGAGCAAUAGUGACUCUCAGAUGGAGCAGGAAGAAGGAAGACAGACAACAGAGUCGUGAUAAAUGGGAAACUGCAGCAACUCAAUAAAGACAAGACCACCAAUGACUCAAAUCCUGCAGGAAUGAAGUGCUGUGUCACCCGACAGGAAUUACCGAGAAGCAACAAGAAGAAUUUUUAAAAACUACAUUCUCCUUUAGCUAUGUAACAAGGAGACAGAUCGAAACCUCUUAGGCAAAUGGAGGAAACGCUGCCACGCGCAGUGGAAACAAGCAGAUGGGUUUGGGGAGGACCAGGACAGCAAACACUGAGGCUUCUGGUAACAGACAAACCAGCAACCAACACUUCUCACAGAUGAAAGAAACAUCCUGAAGCAUAACCCCUAAGGUCUCUCUUCAUAAGAGCAGAAAUAGUGUACAUAUGCUGGAAUCUGAAAUGUUCCUGCUCAAGUUUAGACCCUGAGAAGCAUAGUAAAUAGAGCUAAAUAAAAGUCAGACUGACGAGUCCUGUUUUUCUGAAGCAGUCUGCCUCAGUGGCUUCAAGGGAGAAGGAAGCCAUUGCAUCGAGAAACAUCCCAGAACUUCCCAACGCCAUUAGAUGGCAAGAAGUAAAGAUCACAUGAUUUCACACACAAAACCCUUGGCAGUAAAGGAAAUUCCUGCAAACCAACCUUCCUUUGAACAAAUAUGUAGGAAAUAUCUGAGAGGGGAAAAAUACUCACCUAUGACUUAAAUGAUUCAUCAAAAAGGAAACAGCAGAAAAUCUUCACGGCUGCACUAUAAGAAAAGGAAGAAAACCUAGAAGAUGAAAAUUGUGGCGAAAUUUCAUUGGGGGUUAAAAAACAAUCAACCAAGCUAUUGAUUCUCUGAAACAAAGCACAAAAGCACAAAAUGCAACAGUUGCAGAAAGUGAUUUCCAACAGACAUAAUAACUUAACAAGGAGUAGGCGUUGUUCAGGGUAGAGGUGUAAGAUAAAUAUACAAUAAAGCCAUUAGAGAAAUUAAGGUAAACUUGAAAGGACUGCAAGAAGAAAAAGACAAUACACAGUCAUGAUCAUAAAAUACAGAAACGAAAAAAGAUACAGCAAACAAAAUAAAACAAUAAUGUUAAAUACAGAAAUGCUUAGAAGAAUUAAAGAGAAAAUUCUGGCUAUAGAAUAGAGAAAAAGGAUAUCACACAUUUAGAAAACUGAAUAGCCAAAUUUUAAAAAUCUGAAAUAAUAAUUUUAUUACUGCAUUACAAACUGCCCUAAAAUGUAGUGGCUUAAAACAAGAGCCAUUUUACUUGCUUCGAUUCUGUGGAUGAGGAAGGGCUGUGCUGCACACUUCGUUUGCUCCCUGUCCUGUCAACUGCAAUCGACUGGUAUCUCAGUUGGGUUAGAAGUUCCAAGAGCAUUUGGCUCUUACACGUGCCGUAUCUUUCUACGUGGCUAACGUGGGCUUCAUCCCAGGCGAGGCUGACUUAUCCAUAGCGCCUGGCUUCCACGAGAGAGUUCCAUGAGGGGUGAAAGUAGAAGCUGCAGAUUUCUUGAGGCCUGGCCCCAGAAGUAGUACAGCAUCUCUUCCAUCACAUUCUGUUGGUCAAAGACAGACACAGAGCCAGCCCAGAUGCAACAAGAAGGAUAAUAUUCCCACCACUCAAUUUUGGCACAGGAUGGCAAAGAGUUUACAGCCAUCUUUAAUCUACUACUCAACAAGUAUAUAAUUGAAGAAAAUAAUACUGGAAAUAAAAGAAAAUUUAAAUAACAUGUUGAAAGUACACCCUGCGUUCCAGGAAAAUCUAAAACUAAAUAAUUGCCAUCAAA